rnacentral:rRNA from 1 species
AGAUUGAACGCUGGCGGCAGGCCUAACACAUGCAAGUCGAGCGGUAGAGAGGUGCUUGCACCUCUUGAGAGCGGCGGACGGGUGAGUAAUGCCUAGGAAUCUGCCUAGUGGUGGGGGAUAACGUUCGGAAACGGACGCUAAUACCGCAUACGUCCUACGGGAGAAGCGGGGACCUUCGGGCCUCGCGCCAUUAGAUGAGCCUAGGUCGGAUUAGCUAGUUGGUGAGGUUAAUGGCUCACCGAAGGCGACGAUCCGUAACUGGUCUGGAGAGGAUGAUCAGUCACACUGGAACUGAGACACGGUCCAGUACCUACGUACGGGAGGCAAGCGAAGGUGGGGAAUAUUAGGGAACAAGUGGGACGAAAGCCUAGACGUCCGAAGCCAGUCGACCGG